GAAGACGCUUCGCUACGCUGUGCGAACACGUCAGGGAAGGCCGGUGAGAGUCCGGAGCUGCCCCGCAACUGUGAGACCCGGAUCGGGUCGAAGCCAGAUACCUGCCGUGUGAAGUACCCAACG
rnacentral:ncRNA from 1 species